GUAACCGGAAAAGCCUCUGAUCACAACUUCCACCCAUGUGUAUGUGGAGAUUCCAGUGUGAUCGACUUCAGACUAGUUAGGAUAAAGUUUCUCAUCUUGGUUUAGUUUGAUAUCAGCGGUGUGAGGCUGCCGUCCCGGUCCCGGUGAAAACAUGGCGGAGGUCGUUCAGCAGCGGAUCGAGGACAGGAUUCCUGAGCUGGAGCAGCUGGAGAGAGUGGGACUAUUCACCAAGAAAGAAGUCAAAUCUAUAAUCAAAAAGGCUACAGCUCUUGAAUACAAGCUCCACAGGCUGAUCGUGAACAAGGAGGACUUCAUUGCAUACAUUCAGUAUGAAAUCAAUGUCUUAGAGUUGAUCAAGAAAAGAAGAGCGCACAUACAUUAUCAUUUCAAACGAGAGGAGAUUGAAUUCCCCAUCAUCCACAGAAUAAGUAGCAUCUUCAGAAGAGCAACAAAGAAGUGGAAGGAUGAUGUGCAGCUGUGGCUUUCACAUGUUGCUUUCUGCAAGAAAUGGGAAACCAAAGGUCAGAUCAGCAAGGUGUUCUCGUCUAUGUUAGCUAUCCACCCUGACAAACCAGCAUUGUGGAUCAUGGCUGCCAAGAGUGAGCUUGAGGACCGAAAUUCCUCUGAGAGUGCCCGACACUUGUUCCUGCGAGCGCUGCGUUUCCACCCAGACAACAAGAAGCUCUACCAGGAGUAUUUCCGUAUGGAGCUACUGCACUGUGAGAAGCUGAGGAAGCAGAAGGAAGAGCUGGAGAAAGCCGAAAUGGAGUUGGGUGAAUAUGAGUUUUCUCCAGAGAUCCUUAGUGGAAAACUGGCAGAUGUUGUGUACAAAGAUGCUACGGCAAAAAUCAAAGAAGCAGAAUUUGUAAUCUCACUCCUGAACAUAGCAGCCAUCUUUGAUUUUACCAAAGAACUCCAAGACGCCAUCCUGCAAGACUUGCAGGCCAACUACACAGAGGACAGCUUGAUGUGGGAUUUCAUGGCUAAGAGGGAGUUGGAGGCCCCAGGGGUGGAUGAGGAGCUCUACACCGCCAAAGGCCGGGCCUCGGACAUUAACCGCAGAGAGGAGCGCUGCUGCCAGGUCUAUGAAGAAGGCCUCAAGAGCCUCAACACUGAGCCGAUGUGGACUCGCUAUGUUGUUUUCUGCUUGGAAAGACUAAAGAGGAAGACCAACGUCCAGGAGCUCAAGGACAAAAGGCAAGAGAGGCUGUUGGAAGUUUUACAACGUGCCCAUGACUCCUCACUGCUGAAGGAGAAUUUUUACAAAAACUGGCUGGAGAUCCUGCUGUCGUCUGGGGAUGCCGAAGCUGCAGCCACCCUCGCCUUGUCGGCCACGCAGCGCUACAACCAAUCUGUGUCCGUCUGGAGUCUCUGUCUGCAAACGUUAAUGCAGCUGGGGUGUGGAGACAUGGCCAAGCUGUUCCACGACGCUCUCACACAUGUUAAUCCCAAGGAGAGUCUAUCACUGUGGCAGCUGCAGCUUCAGUGGAGCAUGGCCAACCAGAGUGCUGAGGAGACGGAAGCAAUCUUUAAGAGAGGUUUGCUGUCCACUGUCACGGCUAUCGCCAUGGAGAUGAAAGAGCUCUAUCUCGAAUGGUCUUACUCAGUUGGAGGAUAUAAGAAAGCCAGAAAGACCUUUACAAGUUUACAAGAAAAUCGUCCGUUGUCUAAGAGGUUUUUCACCUGCAUGAUUCAAAUUGAGAAGGAACAAGAAACUCCGAAGAUUAACAAUCUGAGAGAUUAUUAUGAGAGAGCAUUGCAGGAGUUUGGCUCUGCAGAUGAUGACCUGUGGCUGCAGUACAUCCAGGAGGAGAUGGGAGUGCUUGGCCGGCCAGAAAACUGCGCAAAGAUCCACUGGAGAGCCAUGAAGUUCCUGGAGGGGGAGAGCGUGGAGAGAUUCACCUCCAAAUACACUCUGCUUCAGACCGGACACUUGUGAGAGGAACUGAAAGAUGCAGCCUAACACGCCAAACGACCACAUCUGCACGUGGUGUUACGCUAAUAAUUACCUUAAACAUUGUAAUUUUGCAAAAGAAUAGUGAUAGGUGCGUGAACCAGGUUGAAGCCUAUUGGCCUUUAGCUAAAAUAAAUCAAGAUUUUUACCCCAAGCAAUCUCCUGAAAUUUUGUGUCAUUUUCAACACUGCUAUAUAAUUUUUUUAUAUUUAAGUGGUUGUUAGAUGUAAUUUGAGUUCAGUGCCUUCUGUGACCAGAGUUACACAAAAAGUGUAAAUUAAUUAUAUGCUUUUAAAAUUUUACUAUGGGAAAAUUGUGCAGCAUGAAGGAGCCUGUUGAUUCUUCUUUAGGGUUCUAGUCAUGCUCCAGUUAAAGAAGCCAACAAUUCAUUUGGUUCUGUGAAUUCUACACUUUUUUUUUUUCACAAUACCAACUUUUACGGCUGUUCUAUUAAAAAAUUUUUUGAUCUG